UGGGGAAUUUUGCACAAUGGGGGAAACCCUGAUGCAGCGACGCCGCGUGAUUUAGAAGGCCUUCGGGUUGUAAAAAUCUUUUCUAUGGGAAGAAAAUGACAGUACCAUAGGAAUAAGGACCGGCUAAUUACGUGCCAGCAGCCGCGGUAAUACGUAAGGUCCGAGCGUUGUCCGGAAUCAUUGGGCGUAAAGGGUACGUAGGCGGGUAAGUAAGUUAGAAGUGAAAUCCUGUAGCUCAACUACAGUAAGCUUUUAAAACUGCUCAUCUUGAGAUAUGGAAGGGAAAGUGGAAUUCCUAGUGUAGCGGUGAAAUGCGCAGAUAUUAGGAGGAAUACCGGUGGCGAAGGCGACUUUCUGGCCAUAAUCUGACGCUGAGGUACGAAAGCGUGGGUAGCAAACAGG
rnacentral:rRNA from 1 species